rnacentral:rRNA from 1 species
CUGAACCAGCCAAGUAGCGUGAAGGAUGAAGGCUCUAUGGGUCGUAAACUUCUUUUAUAUAAGAAUAAAGCGCAGUAUGUAUACUGUUUUGUAUGUAUUAUAUGAAUAAGGAUCGGCUAACUCCGUGCCAGCAGCCGCGGUAAUACGGAGGAUCCGAGCGUUAUCCGGAUUUAUUGGGUUUAAAGGGAGCGUAGGUGGACUGGUAAGUCAGUUGUGAAAGUUUGCGG